GGAGAGAUGGCAGAGUCUGGCUUAUUGCUGUAGAUUUGAAAUCUACCGAGGUAUAGUGAUAUAUCUCCAGGGGUUCAAAUCCCCUUCUCUCCUCCA
rnacentral:tRNA from 1 species